rnacentral:ncRNA from 1 species
ACAGGGGAGCCUGUAUUGGCUGAGAGUAAGCAGCACUGCUUAGACCCUUUUACCUGAUUUGGGUAAUGCCAACGUAGGAAGUCAAA